rnacentral:rRNA from 1 species
GUCAAUGGCAAUGUCAGCCUGAACACUCCCGAUCUCAGCUGCUCUCAGAAGCUAAGCAGAGGUGAGCCUGGUUAGUACAGGGGUGGGAGAAACUGAGGCCUACUCGGUGCCUUACAUA